rnacentral:rRNA from 1 species
CACGCCUACGGGACGCAGCAGUGGGGAAUAUUGCACAAUGGGGGAAACCCUGAUGCGGCGACGCCGCGUGAGUGAGGAAGUAUUUCGGUAUGUAAAGCUCUAUCAGCAGGGAAGAAAAUGACGGUACCUGACUAAGAAGCCCCGGCUAAAUACGUGCCAGCAGCCGCGGUAAUACGUAUGGGGCAAGCGUUAUCCGGAUUUACUGGGUGUAAAGGGAGCGCAGGCGGCUUGGCAAGUCUGAUGUGAAAGGCUGGGGCUCAACCCCAGGACUGCAUUGGAAGCUGUUAGGCUAGAGUGUCGGAGAG